GAUGAACGCUAGCUACAGGCUUAACACAUGCAAGUCGAGGGGAAACGGCAUUUAGUGCUUGCACCGAAUGGACGUCGACCGGCGCACGGGUGAGUAACGCGUAUCCAACCUUCCCAUAACUAAGGGAUAACCUGCCGAAAGGCAGACUAAUACCUUAUGUAAUCCUUUGAUGGCAUCAGAUAAGGAUAAAAGAUUUAUCGGUUAUGGAUGGGGAUGCGUCUGAUUAGCUUGUUGGCGGGGUAACGGCCCACCAAGGCAACGAUCAGUAGGGGUUCUGAGAGGAAGGUCCCCCACAUUGGAACUGAGACACGGUCCAAACUCCUACGGGAGGCAGCAGUGAGGAAUAUUGGUCAAUGGACGGAAGUCUGAACCAGCCAAGUAGCGUGCAGGAUGACGGCCCUAUGGGUUGUAAACUGCUUUUGAUGGGGAUAAAGUCAAUCACGUGUGGUUGUUUGAGGUGCCUUACGAAUAAGGGGCGGCUAAUUCCGUGCCAGCAGCCGCGGUAAAGGGGCGGGC
rnacentral:rRNA from 1 species